rnacentral:misc_RNA from 1 species
GAUGAAGAACGUAGUGAAAUGCGAUAAGUAAUGUGAAUUGCAGAAUUCAGUGAAUCUUCGAAUCUUUGAACGCACCUUGCGCCUUUUGGUAUUCCGAAAGGCACACCUGUUUGAGCGUCAUGAAUACCUCAAUCUCCAUCUUUUCUUCGGAUUGAUGGGUGACUUGGAUGUUGAGCCCUGCUGGUAUGCUAUAUCAGCUGGCUUUAAACUUAUUAGCCGGCUCUGUACUGGAUCGGUUUGACUCGACGUGAUAAUAUUAUCGUUGAGGAUGCAUGUCUCAUGCAGCCGGAAAGUAUCAAAGCAGCUUCUAGCUUGCCUUUAGUGCACUUUUACAUUUUAGACCUCAGAUCAGGUGGGACUACCCGCUGAACUUAAGCAUAUCAAUAAGCGGAGGA